CCUACGGGGGGCAGCAGUGAGGAAUAUUGGUCAAUGGGCGCGAGCCUGAACCAGCCAAGUCGCGUGAGGGAAGACGGUCCUAUGGAUUGUAAACCUCUUUUGUCGGGGAGCAAAAGACGCCACGCGUGGCGUUCCGAGAGUACCCGAAGAAAAAGCAUCGGCUAACUCCGUGCCAGCAGCCGCGGUAAUACGUAGGAUCCGAGCAUUAUCCGGAGUGACUGGGUGUAAAGAGUUGCGUAGGUGGCAUAAUAAGUAGCUAGUGAAAUCUGGUGGCUCAACCAUUCAGACUAUUAGCUAAACUGUUAAGCUCGAGACCGUUAGGGGUAAGUGGAAUUUCUAGUGUAGGAGUGAAAUCCGUAGAUAUUAGAAGGAACACCAAUAGCGUAGGCAGGUUACUGGGACGGUUCUGACACUAAGGCACGAAAGCGUAGGGAGCAAACGGGAUUAGAUACCCGGGUAGUC
rnacentral:rRNA from 1 species